rnacentral:tRNA from 1 species
GGUAAAUGGUUAACACGCUUGGCUGCUAACCAAAAGGUUGGUGGUUCAAGUCCACC